GAUGAACGCUGGCGGCGUGCUUAACACAUGCAAGUCGAACGAAGCAUUUAUUAUGAAGUUUUCGGAUGGAUUAAUACUUGACUGAGUGGCGGACGGGUGAGUAACGCGUGGGUAACCUGCCUUAUACAGGGGGAUAACAGCUGGAAACGGCUGCUAAUACCGCAUGAGCGCACAGCUUUGCAUGAAGCAGUGUGAAAAGAUUUAUCGGUAUAAGAUGGACCCGCGUCUGAUUAGCUGGUUGGUGGGGUAACGGCCUACCAAGGCGACGAUCAGUAGCCGGAUUGAGAGAGUGAACGGCCACAUUGGGACUGAGACACGGCCCAAACUCCUACGGGAGGCAGCAUUGGGGAAUAUUGCACAAGGGGGGAAACCCUGAUGCAGCGACACCGCGUGAGUGAAGAAGUAUUUCGGUAUGUAAAGCUCUAUCAGCAGGGACGAUAAUGACGGUACCUGACUAAGAAGCCCCGGCUAACUACGUGCCAGCAGCCGCCGUAA
rnacentral:rRNA from 1 species